UCUAAACCAGUGCUGAUUCACGGCCUCGCCCCGUGGCCUCUGGGCAGUUGGGUGGAAAGAAAAGACCUGGGCCUCAGAUCUGGACUCUCUGAAAGGCACAACAAUAAACAAAGGGGACCAAGCACUCAGAUCAAGAAAAUAAGAGACAGCUCUUUGAAACCCCGGACAAGCAGCUGAGCAACCAAGCUUGGUCCUUAAUCCCAGUAUCAGGAAGACCGGCAGCCAGAUUGAAUUCCAACCCCGACAGGGCAUCUCAAAGAUGAAUGAAUGAAUGAAUGAAUGAAUGAAUAAGAAAGAAAAGAGAGGAUAGAAGAUCCUACUACCAUAUAAACCAAAUGUACAGAUAACAUGGCUUCUACCAGUAAUCCCAUCUCUGAAGAGGAUGAAGCAGGUGGAUUGCUCUGAGAUCAAGAUUGUGGACUACACAAUAAAUUCCAAGCCAGAUUGGACUACAGCACAAUAUCCAGUCUCAAGCAACAACAACAAAGAAAUCUUCCAGUCUAAGCUAUGAUUUACAUCUCUGGUCUUAGAGGCUAAAGAGGUUUGAGCAGGAGGAUCCCUGGAGCUCACAGUUGGCCACAUAGCAAA